CAUAUUGGUUAACUUGCUUAGUUUUAGAAGUAUUGGGUAUAUUUUGAAAAACAUUUAAAAUUAAUCCCAUGGUUACGUUUCAGCUUUCAACGAAUUCGAAAAGUGUUUGUAAGUAUGCCUCUUGCGUAAGCAGUUAUUUCGCAUUCGAUCUUAUCGCUUAUUAUUAAAAUAAUCCAGGAAGACUGUUAAGAGUUGUACACAUAAUAAUAUAUACGUGAUAGGUAUCCGGAUUCUAUUUUUGAUAGGGAAUAAUGAUAAACAAAUCCUGCUCGCCCGAACAUGUACAUUCAGUAUUUGAUUAAACGGAAUUCGUAAAACACGCACGAUUCACGUUACUCUAUGUACCUUCAAAACGGCCAUGUUUUUUUUCGCAGUAUUAUACAUUUCUGUGAUUAAAUUUGAAAUACUUUCC